GAAGGUUUGGCGAGUACACUUGGCUUUGAUAGUGCCUAUGGAGUUGGUAGUUCUGGACGGAGUGGGGGGCUGUGCAUCUACUGGAAGAACACGGUAGACCUCACACUAAGGAAUUACUCCAAGUAUCAUAUUGAUAUGGUGGUUCAGGAAGUUGGAAAGGACCCUUGGCGCCUGACUUGUUGGUAUGGAGAGGCGGAUAGAAGCUUAAGAUAUAGAACAUGGGAUAUGAUGAGGUUCCCGCGAGCGGAUGAGCGAGACCUUCCAUGGAUGUGCAUCGGUGACUUUAAUGAAGUGCUCCGCAGGGAAGAACACUUGGGUCCGAGUGAUCGAGCAUGGACGCAGAUUCAACAGUUUAGAGAGGUGGUGGAUGCCUGCGGGUUAGCUGAUAUUGGCUACGUGGGCAUGGACUAG
rnacentral:rRNA from 1 species